GGGUCAUUGGGGCUUGAUUCUCCCUUCGGGUGUGAGAGGUCCCAGGUUCAAAUCCUGGAAGAGCCC